rnacentral:rRNA from 1 species
AGUCACUGACAUUAGAUACCCCUGUAGUCCAGGGUGUAAACGCUGCAGACUUGGUGUUGGAGGCCCUUUGGGGGCAUUCAGUGCCGGAGAGAAGUUGUUAAGUCUGCUACUUGGGGAGUACGUCCGCAAGGAUGAAACUUAAAGGAAUUGGCGGGGGAGCACCGCAACGGGAGGAGCGUGCGGUUUAAUUGGAUUCAACACCGUAAACUCACCAGGGAAGACUGUUACAUGAAGGCCGAGAUGAAGACUCUGCUAGAUUUUCAG